AUCACUUCUUGACCUUUUGGCUAAGAUCAAGUGUAGUAUCUGUUCUUGCCAGUUUAAAAUGUCUGUUCGUUCCUUUGCCAAUUUCUAUACUGGGAUUGCUCUUUUCCUUGUUGAUCAGCAGAAAUUCU
rnacentral:snRNA from 1 species